AAUAGAAUGGGUAAAUAGAUUCAAUUUAUAUAUAGCACUUUUCCAGUAAUACUGAUCAUCCAAAGCAUCCUGCAAAAAAGGCUUCAGGAUUUCUGCUAUGUUGUCAUGCAACAGCCUGCAUAUAAACUUUUUGCUAUUAUUUCUAACUUUCAUCAAACUUUCAUUUUAAGCCUAAACCAGUAAGGCUACCCAUAUCCUAACCCUAUCCUUUACAUAGCUAACCUAUCCCUAACCAAAACUCAUUUCACACCUUAGUCCUAAAUCUAACCCCUGACCUUUGGUCCCCACAACGUAGUAUGUGUCAGGAAAAUGGUCCCCACAAGGUAUUACAAACACACUUUGUGUAAUAUUUGAUAAAAUCUCUGGUGUAAUUCUCCGAGCAAAUUGAUACUUUGGUUGAGAUUAGAU